UACGUAGGGGGCAAGCGUUGUCCGGAUUCAUUGGGCGCAAAGAGCGUGUAGGCGGCCAGGUAGGUCGGUUGUGAAAACUGGAGGCUCAACCUUCAGAGGUCGACCGAAACCAUCUGGCUAGAGUCCGGGAGAGGAGAGUGGAAUUCCUGGUGUAGCGGUGAAAUGCGCAGAUAUCAGGAAGAACACCCGUGGCGAAAGCGGCUCUCUGGAACGGUACUGACGCUGAGACGCGAAAGCGUGGGGAGCGAACAGG
rnacentral:rRNA from 1 species